rnacentral:rRNA from 1 species
UACGUAGGGUGCAAGCGUUGUCCGGAAUUAUUGGGCGUAAAGAGCUCGUAGGCGGUCUGUCGCGUCGGCUGUGAAAACCCGGAGCUCAACUCCGGGCCUGCAGUCGAUACGGGCAGACUGGAGUUCGGCAGGGGAGACUGGAAUUCCUGGUGUAGCGGUGAAAUGCGCAGAUAUCAGGAGGAACACCCGUGGCGAAGGCGGCACUCUGGGACGGUACUGACGCUGAGACGCGAAAGCGUGGGGAGCAAACAGG